UAACCUGCCCAAGAGAUCGGGAUAACACCUGGAAACAGAUGCUAAUACCGGAUAACAACAGAUGAUGCCUAUCAACUGUUUAAAAGAUGGUUCUGCUAUCACUCUUGGAUGGACCUGCGGUGCAUUAGCUAGUUGGUAGGGUAACGGCCUACCAAGGCGAUGAUGCAUAGCCGAGUUGAGAGACUGAUACGGCCUACAUUUGGGACUGAGACACGGCCCAAACUCCUACGGGAGGCAGCAGUC
rnacentral:rRNA from 1 species